AGAAUCAACGCUGGCGGCGUGCCUAACACAUGCAAGUCGAACGAGAAAGGGGUAGCAAUACCCUGAGUAAAGUGGCGCACGGGUGAGUAACACGUGACUAACCUACCCUUGAGUGGGGGAUAACUGAGGGAACCUUAGCUAAUACCGCAUAAUACCCACGGGUCAAAGGAGCAAUUCGCUCGAGGAGGGGGUCGCGGCCGAUUAGUUAGUUGGCGGGGUAAUGGCCCACCAAGACGAUGAUCGGUA
rnacentral:rRNA from 1 species